rnacentral:lncRNA from 1 species
UGUAUUGAGAGAGAUUCAUUGUAGGUGAGGAUUUGGAGAGCUAUGUAUUUUGGAUGAAAGAUGUAUUCAUUUAAAGAAAAUGAUGUAAAUGAAAAGGAUGAACUAUUGUAAUAGUUAGCAAAGUACUCUCUUUAUUUCACAUGUUAUUCCUGUGGAUUACUUGCUCUUGUAGUUGCUGGUACUAUUUGUGCCCCGUUGAAUGUGUAUGUUUAGAAUUUAAAUUCCUGGAAAAUUCUUGUACACAUUCUUGUUGUGAGCCUUGGGCGAACAGGGAAGGUGCUGUCCGUU